CCUACGGGAGGCAGCAGUGGGGAAUAUUGGGCAAUGGGCGCAAGCCUGACCCAGCAACGCCGCGUGAAGGAAGAAGGCUUUCGGGUUGUAAACUUCUUUUCUCAGGGACGAAGAAAGUGACGGUACCUGAGGAAUAAGCCACGGCUAACUACGUGCCAGCAGCCGCGGUAAUACGUAGGUGGCAAGCGUUAUCCGGAUUUAAUGGGGGUAAAGGGCGUGUAGGCGGGAACGCAAGUCAGAUGUGAAAACCCCGGGCUCAACCGGUGGCCUGCAUUUGAAACUGUUUUUCUUGAGUACUGGAGAGGCAGCCGGAAUUCCUUGUGUAGCGGUUAACUUCGUAGAUAUUCGGAGGAACACCAGUGGCGAAGGCGGUCUGCUGGACAGCAACUGACGCUGAGGCGCG
rnacentral:rRNA from 1 species